GCAGCAGCUGUGACCCAGCAAUAAUAAAGCAAGACACGCAUCAUCUACUCUACAAGGCAUAGGUUUGAUUUGUGACAUAUUUUAUUUUAUUGAUGGUCAGUUGUAGCCUUGAGGAGAAGAUUGAAUAAAAAGAUGAUUUUAUUCUGGUUGUUUUUUAUAUUUAUAGCAUUAGUAUUUAGGUUAUUGGGCUCACACCGGGACCAGGGAAACUAAUUUCGUCCCACCUCAUGUUUCUACAUGUGUGAAACGACAAUAAAGCUCCUUGAAUCCUUGAAAUGAUUUGGUUUUUACCUUUGGAAUAUAGUCGUCCCAUCAAGUUAGCAGGGCAUCAAAGCCUGAAAGAAAUCUUUUACAUCA